UGACAUUGGGCGUCAGCUUGUAAUCUCAGGUGACGUAGCGAGGUGAGGGACAACUACCUAAAAAAAGACAGAAAAUGGAGUGGAAGAUUGGUGACGGAGCUCUCUCAAACAAAGCACGUAAAUACAAGUACAGAGAGGCAAUGGAAUUCCUAGUUCUCUAUACAUACAUAAUCGAGAAACAAGUUCAAUCUUGGAUCCUGUUUUUGAUGUGGACACACCAGGAGAAGCCUGUACCAAGCAGGAAGAAACUGAGCAGGAGAAUGGUGACAUAUGUCCACAACGUGGGUCAGACUUCCUCGUCAUCAUCCUCAGGCACGUCCGCAACAUCAGUCCAGUCUUCGAGUCCCAACUUCACUUCAAAUCGAGGACACAAUGUUGCAGUAAUUUCAAAGCACCGAUAGUCAUGGUGACAACAUAACUGUAGAUCAAUUUUUCUCCAGUUUGUCCCCCAUUGUCCCACACUGUAAAAGUUACCUCAAUGCCAGCUCCAUUGCCAUGAUUGCUAUGAGGUUAAUUUCGGUCUUCUGAACAUUGAACAUACUACUAUAGGAAUUAAAGGUUUCGUGUCAUCUAAAUCCAAGUCGAUUCCUAUUGAUGUGAUAAACAUCUCACAAUUUAAGAAUCCAAAUAUGUUUCGUAGAUUUAAAAAAAGGUAACGGAAAAUAU
rnacentral:misc_RNA from 1 species